GAUGAACGCUGACAGAAUGCUUAACACAUCAGCAAUUGAUUGGUGGCGGACGGGUGAGUAACGCGUAAAGAACUAGCCUCACAGCUAGGGAAAACAUUUGGAAACGAAUGCUAAUACCUCAUAAUGUGAGGGAGCUUGGCGUACCAUUAGCUAGUUGGAGAGGUAACGGCUAACCAAGGCGAGGAUGGGUAGCCGGCCUUAGAUGGUGUUCGGCCACAAGGGGACAGAUACACGGCCCUGACUCCUACGUGAGGCAGCAGUGGGGAAUAUUGGACAAUGGACCAAAGUCUGAGCCAGCAAUUCUGUGUGCACGAUGAAGUUUUCGGAAUGUAAAGUGCUUUCAGUUGGGAAGCGGUACCAACAGAAGAAGUGACGGCUAAAUACGUGCCAGCAGCCGCGGUAAUUC
rnacentral:rRNA from 1 species